GUCCAGCUCUGUGACACUGAAGGUCACCAGUUCCCUUGCUGGCUUCGACUGAAUGAUUCCCCUGUGAAGUCCCUUGUUUACUGUAUUUGUAAUUAGCCACCAAGAACUUGAGUAACCGGUUUCCGAGGAGAACAUAUAUCCUGAAUCAGUUCCUGGACAUUUGUUUGAGGUCUUGUAAGGGAAACUGAAGGGAAUUGUGUAUUGAACAGGAUGGCUUAGACCUGCUCAACUUCUGAGAAUUGAGGCAAAGUGGGCAAUCCAGAUGUAUCACUUGACUUUCUGACUACUGGAAGAAUUUCCCUUCAUUAUUGCACACCAGGGGUAUCCCACAGGCCAUCCUCGAUAAUGGCUUGGUUUCAUCAUUAAAAUUGUUCUCUUUGAGUCAAGAUAAUAUAGUUCCCAAGAGCUAUGUCAUACCAUCAGAAAAAAGAUAAACUUGGGCCAAACAUGAUGAGUUUCUCCUCAUGAAGGAACAUAGGCAUUGAGUCCUGAGCCACCAAGCAAGUGUCCAACUACUCUGAAACUGCCAUGUGUUAAGUGAAAAGAUAGCAAGGGGAAGCACUGAAGCUGCAUCGUGAGCGAGAGAUGCCCAGCCACCAGGCAGCUGCUCCACCCACCUCACCCUCAGCCUACUUUCCUCCACCCUCAACCUUGUACUUUUGUUGCUCCAACCACUGUCUGGUUACAAUCAGAGGAGAGAUUCCAAGACAGUAGCACCCAGCUAAACCCUUCCUGAAUUCGCAACUCACAAAAGUUAUAAAAGACAAUAAAAUGACUGUUCUUUAAGUUAUAUGUUUUGAAGUGAAUUAUUAUUCAGCAACAAAUAACCCAUAACAUCAUCCUUUUUUCCUCACCUCCACUUCCCAGUUUUGCCUCCAGUCUGAGUACUUAAAGUUAGGCCUACAAAUCCAGUCCUUUCCCUUCAAAGGAAACUUAUUAUAAACUGAGGCAUCCAGAAAAAGGCUGUCAUGAGGUUUUAAUGUCAUUCUCUGCUCUCUUCAUU
rnacentral:lncRNA from 10 species